rnacentral:rRNA from 1 species
GUGAGGAAUUUUCCGCAAUGGGCGAAAGCCUGACGGAGCAAUGCCGCGUGAAGGAUGAAGGCCUAUGGGUUGUAAACUUCUUUUCUCAGAAAAGAAUUAUGACGGUAUCUGAGGAAUAAGCAUCGGCUAACUCUGUGCCAGCAGCCGCGGUAAGACAGAGGAUGCAAGCGUUAUCCGGAAUGAUUGGGCGUAAAGCGUCUGUAGGUUGUUUAAAAAGUAUUCUGUCAAAGAUUAGGGCUUAACCUUAGAUAGGCAGAAUAAACUUUUAAGCUAGAGUUUGGUAGAGGCAGAGGGAAUUCCCGGUGGAGCGGUGAAAUGCGUAGAUAUCGGGAGGAACACCAAAGGCGAAGGCACUCUGCUGGGCCAAUACUAACACUGAGAGACGAAAGCGAGGGGAGCAAAUGGGAUUAGAAACCCCAGUAGUCC